rnacentral:rRNA from 1 species
CACCGCGGUUAUACGAGGGGCCCAAGUUGACAGGGUUCGGCGUAAAGGGUGGUUAAUAAUAUUCCUUACUAAAGCUAAACUAUCUUCAAUGCUGUUAUACGUGCAUGAAGACGGGAGGCUCAUACACGAAAGUGGCUUUAAGAAUUAUGACCCCACGAAAUCUAGGGAA